GAUGAACGCUAGCUACAGGCUUAACACAUGCAAGUCGCGGGACCGGCGCACGGGCGAGUUAAGCGUAUCCAACCCGCCCUUCACCACGGGAUAACCCGGCGAAAGUCGGACUAACACCGUAUGGGGAAGGAUGGGGAUGCGUCCGCUUAGCUUGACGGCGGGGUAACGGCCCACCGUGGCUACGUACGGUAGGGGUUCUGAGAGGAAGGUCCCCCACACUGGAACUAAGACACGGCCCAGACUCCUACGGGAGGCAGGAGGUGGGAGUAUUGGUCAAUGGGCGUAAGCCUGGACCAGCCAAGUGGCGUGAAGGACGACGGCCUAUGGGUGGUAAACUGCUUUUAUGCGGGGAUAGGUACCGCAUGAAUAAGGACCGGCUAAUUCCGUGCCAGCAGCCGCGGUAAUAC
rnacentral:rRNA from 1 species